rnacentral:rRNA from 1 species
AUUGAACGCUGGCGGCAGGCCUAACACAUGCCAGUCGAACGGUAACAGGGAUCCGCUUGCUGAUUCGCUGACGAGUGGCGGACGGGUGAGUAAUGUCUGGGAAACUGCCUGAUGGAGGGGGAUAACUACUGGAAACGGUAGCUAAUACCGCAUAACGUCGCAAGACCAAAGAGGGGGACCUUCGGGCCUCUUGCCAUCGGAUGUGCCCAGAUGGGAUUAGCUAGUAGGUGGGGUAACGGCUCACCUAGGCGACGAUCCCUAGCUGGUCUGAGAGGAUGACCAGCCACACUGGAACUGAGACACGGUCCAGACUCCUACGGGAGGCAGCAGUGGGGAAUAUUGCACAAUGGGCGCAAGCCUGAUGCAGCCAUGCCGCGUGUAUGAAGAAGGCCUUCGGGUUGUAAAGUACUUUCAGCGGGGAGGAAGGGAGUAAAGUUAAUACCUUUGCUCAUUGACGUUACCCGCAGAAGAAGCACCGGCUAACUCCGUG